CAGCGAGGCUGGCUGACUUGUGCUCUAAUCACUGAGCCCUCUGGCCGCAGGCCCGCCCGCCCAAGUACCUUUCCCUGUCUCCGUGGCCCGUGGACCCCGAAGGCUGCGUGGGGCCACGGGGACAAGUGGCAAGGCCGAGGCUGAGCCCACGGGGCCGGAAGGGUUAACGCGCUCCGCCGCAAUGGGCCGGCCUCCGGGGGAACCAGCCAAUGGGUACGCGCCGCGAUGAGCAGGUCGGUCCUCAUCUUCAGCUGCUCUUCCCUUCUGCAGAGUCAUUUUGAUUUUGCACCGACUCCCUCCUCACAGGUGUUCACACCUUCCACCCCAGCUAGAGAUGAAAGGAGGACACUCACCAUUCAGUACUCACCCAGGCCAUCCAUCGACAGAAACGUCAGACAGCGCAUCCACGCCUGAUCACCUCUCUCGGCUGCCGGGGGAGCCCACACAAGCAGGCGCAUCGAUGAGCUCCCGGCCUGCCAACUCUGGGCCUGCCUCAGACUGAUGCAGCUGGGUGGUGGCUUCUCUGGACUUCGCUUGAAAGGCGUAGCCUGGACCUUGCCGGGAGCCAUGGGUGCAGAGCAUGCACCUCUGGCCUCUAUCCUGAAACACUGGACUGUGGAUCUGAUGCUGGGAGUUCAGACUGGAAAAGGAGAAACAUAGGAACCAGCAGGCGAUGUAAGGCCAGCGGGGAUGGUCUGGGAGCAGUAACGGCGAAGAUCACGGAGGCCCACCGUCCUGCACUCCAAAUCCCUGGCUACAUAGGUUCAGAACUCAGAAUUUCCCCACUUGUAGGAGGAAAGGAUUGCACGUAGACCACAUAUCUCCUAACACCUCCAGUGAAGUGCGGGGCAGCCCCUGUAAUCAGACGUGUUACCAGGUCUGCGGCAAAGCCUACGAACAAAGACACAAAUCCUCUCUGAAGCUCAGUUUUCUCGUCUCUAACGUGGAGCAAUGGCUGUACCAGGCUCACAGGGUUGCCCUGAGUAUUUGAUGCUUCCCUUGAUACCGGCCAGCCCACAGGAGACACAGGUUCUUGGCCUGCCCUGAGCCCUCUGGGGCACGUGCUGCUCCUUUCCGGAAUAUUCACCCCUAGACAUCUCAGGAGAUAGCUCUCUCACUUCCUUCAGGACCCGCCCCAGCAGGACUUGCCCUGUCUAUCCCCGUCUCCUCCCGCCCCUGUUCUCCUUUGUCUUCCUUCCCAACCUCUAUCAUUUGAAGUAUCACUUAAAUCAAUUACUCCCUUGUUAAUUGCCUGCCCUCCUGCAGUAGAUUCCAAGCUCCGUGUAGUCAGGACUCUGUGCUGUCGCCCACUUUGCCCCAGAAC
rnacentral:lncRNA from 1 species